rnacentral:rRNA from 1 species
ACGGGGUGCAGCAGGCGCGAAAACUUGGCAAUGCGAGAAAUCGUGACCAGGGAACUCCAAGUGGCAGGGGUAAGACCCUGUCUUUUUCCGACUCUAAAUAGGUCGGCGAAUAAGGGGUGGGUAAGGACGGUGCCAGCCGCCGCGGUAAUACCGGCGCCUCAAGUGGUAGUCGCUUUUAUUGGGCCUAAAACGUCCGUAGCCGGUCUGGUACAUUCGUGGGUAAAUCAACUCGCUUAACGAGUUGAAUUCUGCGAGGACGGCCAGACUUGGGACCGGGAGAGGUGUGGGGUACUCUCAGGGUAGGGGUAAAAUCCUGUCAUCCUGAGAGGACCACCUGUUGCGAAGGCUCCACACUAGAACGGAUCCGACGGUCAGGGACGAAGCCUAGGGGCACGAACCGGAUUAGAUACCCGGGUAGUCCUAGGUGUAAACGCUGCGGACUUGAUGUUGGGGACGCUCCGAGCGUUCUCAGUGUCGAAGCGAAGGUGAUAAGUCCACUGCCUGGGGAGUACGGUCGCAAGGCUGAAACUUAAAGGAAUUGGCGGGGGAGCACCGCAACCUGAGGAUUGUGCGGUUUAAUUGGAGUCAACGCCGGA